rnacentral:rRNA from 1 species
UCGCUAAUGUACCCCGGACCUCUGGGAUAGCCAGUCGAAAGACUGGGUAAUACCAGAUGAUAUAACUUUCCUGCAUGGGAGAGUUCUCAAAGGUCUGCCGGUCUGGGAGCAGGCGAUUUCGUAUCAGCUAGUUGGUGAGGUAACGGCUCACCAAGGCGACGACGCGUAGCCGGACUGAGAGGUUGGCCGGCCACAUUGGGACUGAGACACUGCCCAG